CAGUGGUAGGGUUCAAAUUGUGGGGGAUCAAUGGUGAGCUUGCUUUGGACACCAAAGUGCAUGGUGGUGACUUGUUUGUUGUGCCAAGGUUCUUUGUGGUAGCCAUAGUUGCAGGUGGAGAUGGGAUGGAGUGUUUCUCUGUCAUAACUUCUUCACAACCUGUGUUUGGAGAGUCAAGUGGCAAUACAUCUAUAUGGAAAGCUUUAUCUCCAGUGGUUCUACAAACUUCUCUUGGUGUCACUCCAAAGUUUUCUCAACUUUUCAUUUCCAAGAAUUAGAUCACAAGCACCACAAUUCUCAUUCCUUCAUCA